GCUGGUUCUCUCCGAAAUAGCUUUAGGGCUAGCCUCAAGUGAUGAUUAUUGGAGGUAGAGCACUGUUUGGUCCAGGGGCCCGUUUCGGGUUACCGUAUUCAUACAAACUCAGAAUGCAAAUUAAUUUAACUUGGGAGUCUGAACAUGGUUGAUAAGGUCCGUGUUAGCAAUUGAAACAGCCAAGACCAACAGCUAAGGUCCCA
rnacentral:rRNA from 1 species